GGAAAGGGGGAAUAUGUGGGGAGCCACUCUGAAUGACCCACACCUUCCAUCCUGAAGUGAGAGGCUUUGGCCAGUCACUACAUUUCAUAGUGACCUGGACAUUGUCCUGGUUCAGGAAGUUGAGGGCAUGUCUUCAGAUGUAGGUGUGUCACCCAUGGAGUUGAGCUACAUUCACCUGUUCCUUUGUAAUACUACCUCUUUGCCCUGUUUGGGAUAGAAUGUUCCAUGGAAAUGCCCUUUGUGUGUCCCCUUCUCUUGCUCUGCCUUUGGGUGUGGCCUUUCUAGAUGUCAGUCAACUAGACUCAACUCCCUGAAACCUGAUCCCUUGCCUCAUUUGAAUGGCUUCUCCUCAAUAAAAGGGUUCAGCAUGUGUGCCCUCUCUCUCUCUCUCUCUCUCUCUCUCUCUCUCCCCCCAUCUCUUUCUGUGGACCCUUAAGGUCAGAGGUGCAGUCACAGGACCCCAAAGAAAAAGGUAUCUCUGUCUCUUGUGUGGUUAUUUCAUGCAGCCCAGUUCCCCUGGAGUGACCCUGAGUGUUUUAGUCGUGAGGAACAUGACAGAUACUCAUAGUACACCCAUCUACGUGAUGGGAUUUAAGCAUACUGGUUGCAGUAGAAACCUAACUACAUGUUUGC
rnacentral:lncRNA from 1 species